rnacentral:rRNA from 1 species
AUGGCGCGCCUGCUCCUCCCCCAAUGCUGCUGCGGCCUCACGCCCCUGCCCCUCCCGCGCCGCGCCGUCGCGCUCCCUCCCCCGGCCCUAUUUCCCUCCUCCUCCGGCGCCGCCGCGUCCCGCCGCGCGCUCUCCCUCCGCGUGGCCGUCGCCGCGCCCGCCCGCCUCGCCACCGCCGAGGACGACGGCUCCGGCUCCCGGGCCGCCGGGGCCCAGGGUGGUGACGAGGGGCCCGCUGACGGGUUCGACCCGGGCGCGCCGCCGCCGUUCGGGCUGGCGGACAUCCGGGCCGCCAUCCCCAAGCACUGCUGGGUCAAGGACCCCUGGCGCUCCAUGGGCUACGUGGUGCGCGACGUCGUCGUCGUGCUCGCGCUCGCCGCCGCCGCCGCCCGCCUCGACAGCUGGCUCGCCUGGCCCGUCUACUGGGCCGCCCAGGGCACCAUGUUCUGGGCGCUCUUCGUCCUCGGACACGACUGCGGCCAUGGGAGCUUCUCCAACAACGCCAAGCUCAACAGCGUCGUGGGCCACAUCCUCCACUCCUCCAUCCUCGUGCCUUACAAUGGCUGGAGGAUUAGCCACAGGACGCACCACCAGAACCACGGCCACGUCGAGAAUGACGAGUCCUGGCAUCCGCUCCCGGAGAAGCUGUACAGGAGCCUGGACAGUUCCACCCGGAAGCUUCGAUUCGCGCUACCGUUCCCGAUGCUCGCGUACCCAUUCUACUUGUGGUCGAGGAGUCCAGGGAAGUCAGGCUCGCAUUUCCACCCGAGCAGCGAUUUGUUCCAGCCGAACGAGAAGAAGGACAUAGUGACGUCGACGACAUGCUGGCUUGCCAUGGCUGGCCUGCUCGCUGGGCUCACCGUCGUGAUGGGGCCUCUUCAGAUACUCAAGCUCUACGCCGUACCCUACUGGAUUUUUGUUAUGUGGCUGGACUUUGUUACCUACCUGCACCACCACGGCCACAACGACAAGCUUCCCUGGUAUCGUGGAAAGGCAUGGAGCUACCUGCGCGGGGGCCUGACGACGCUUGACAGGGACUACGGGUGGCUCAACAAAAUCCACCACGACAUCGGGACUCACGUGAUCCACCAUCUUUUCCCGCAAAUCCCACAUUACCAUCUAGUGGAGGCGACCGAGGCGGCGAAGCCAGUGCUGGGGAAGUACUACAGGGAGCCAGACAAGUCCGGCCCGUUCCCGUUCCACCUGUUUGGCGCGCUGGCACGGAGCAUGAAGAGCGACCACUACGUUAGCGACACCGGAGACAUAAUCUACUACCAAACUGACCCAAAACUCGCCGCCGGUGCACACACAUCCGAUUAA